UGGGGAAUUUUGGACAAUGGGCGAAAGCCUGAUCCAGCAAUGCCGCGUGUGUGAAGAAGGCCUUCGGGUUGUAAAGCACUUUUGUCCGGAAAGAAAUCCUUGGCUCUAAUACAGUCGGGGGAUGACGGUACCGGAAGAAUAAGCACCGGCUAACUACGUGCCAGCAGCCGCGGUAAUACGUAGGGUGCAAGCGUUAAUCGGAAUUACUGGGCGUAAAGCGUGCGCAGGCGGUUUGCUAAGACCGAUGUGAAAUCCCCGGGCUCAACCUGGGAACUGCAUUGGUGACUGGCAGGCUAGAGUAUGGCAGAGGGGGGUGAGAAUUCCACGUGUAGCAGUGAAAUGCGUAGAGAUGUGGAGGAAUACCGAUGGCGAAGGCAGCCCCCUGGCCAAGUACUGACGCUCAUGCACGAAAGCGUGGGGGAGCAAAC
rnacentral:rRNA from 1 species